UUGUCUGAAUUAUUCACCCAUGUCUUUUGCGCACUUCUUGUUUCCUGGGCGGGUUCGCCCGCCACCAGGACCAAACCAUAAACCUUUUUGUAAUUGCAAUCAGCGUCAGUAAACAAUGUAAUUAUUACAACUUUCAACAACGGAUCUCUUGGUUCUGGCAUCGAUGAAGAACGCAGCGAAAUGCGAUACGUAGUGUGAAUUGCAGAAUUCAGUGAAUCAUCGAAUCUUUGAACGCACAUUGCGCCCUUUGGUAUUCCAAAGGGCAUGCCUGUUCGAGCGUCAUUUGUACCCUCAAGCUUUGCUUGGUGUUGGGCGUCUUUGUCUCUCACGAGACUCGCCUUAAAAUGAUUGGCAGCCGACCUACUGGUUUCGGAGCGCAGCACAAUUCUUGCACUUUGAAUCAGCCUUGGUUGAGCAUCCAUCAAGACCACAUUUUUUUUAACUUUUGACCUCGGAUCAGGUAGGGAUACCCGCUGAACUUAAGCAUAUCAAUAAGCGGAGGA
rnacentral:rRNA from 1 species